rfam:Mesocricetus auratus contig067184, whole genome shotgun sequence.
UAGUGUCCAGUGUAGAAGCCCAAGUAUGAGGACUUCAGUAAAGAAAGUCACUGAGAAGAGCCGGCCACACCAAAAAGAAAAGAAAUAGAAGUAAUUGCAAAAUGAGAGACUGCCACAGCAACAAAGACCUCAGUAAGUGAGCGACGAUAUGGGACAAGAAAUGAGUCAAUAUUAAUGGUGUGUUGAAGGCCUCAAGAAGGCACUUAAGGUAUGAGGGUUAGGCUCAAAACACAGGAUUUGUUAAAGUUCUUUGUCUUUAUUAAGGAAAUUUGUCCCU